AUUGAACGCUGGCGGCAUGCCUUACACAUGCAAGUCGAACGGCAGCACGGGAGCAAUCCUGGUGGCGAGUGGCGAACGGGUGAGUAAAGUAUCGGAACGUGCCCAGUCGUGGGGGAUAACGUAGCGAAAGUUACGCUAAUACCGCAUACGAUCUAUGGAUGAAAGCGGGGGAUCUCACGACCUCGCGCGAUUGGAGCGGCCGAUAUCAGAUUAGGUAGUUGGUGGGGUAAAGGCUCACCAAGACGACGAUCUGUAGCUGGUCUGAGAGGACGACCAGCCACACUGGGACUGAGACACGGCCCAGACUCCUACGGGAGGCAGCAGUGGGGAAUUUUGGACAAUGGGCGAAAGCCUGAUCCAGCCAUGCCGCGUGCAGGAUGAAGGCCUUCGGGUUGUAAACUGCUUUUGUACGGAACGAAAAGGUUUGGCCUAAUAAGCUGAGCUCAUGACGGUACCGUAAGAAUAAGCACCGGCUAACUACGUGCCAGCCGCCGCAGUAA
rnacentral:rRNA from 1 species